UGGGGAAUCUUGCACAAUGGGCGAAAGCCUGAUGCAGCGACGCCGCGUGGGGGAUGAAGCAUCUCGGUGUGUAAACCCCUUUCGAUUCGGACGAAUGCCCGCAAGGGAGUGACGGUACGGAUAUAAGAAGCCCCGGCUAACUACGUGCCAGCAGCCGCGGUAAGACGUAGGGGGCCAGCGUUGUUCGGAAUUACUGGGUGUAAAGGGUUCGUAGGCGGUGCGGCAAGUUGGGAGUGAAAUCUCUGGGCUUAACCCAGAGGCUGCUUCCAAAACUGCUGUGCUCGAGUGUGGGAGAGGCGCGUGGAAUUGCAGGUGUAGCGGUGAAAUGCGUAGAUAUCUGCAGGAACACCCGUGGCGAAAGCGGCGCGCUGGACCACUACUGACGCUGAGGAACGAAAGCUAGGGGAGCAAACAGG
rnacentral:rRNA from 6 species